rnacentral:rRNA from 1 species
AACGAACGCUGGCGGCAUGCCUAACACAUGCAAGUCGAACGAGACCUUCGGGUCUAGUGGCGCACGGGUGCGUAACGCGUGGGAACCUGCCCUUAGGUUCGGAAUAACUCCCCGAAAGGGGUGCUAAUACCGGAUAAUGUCUUCGGACCAAAGUUUUAUCGCCUUUGGAUGGGCCCGCGUUGGAUUAGCUAGUUGGUAGGGUAAAAGCCUACCAAGGCGACGAUCCAUAGCUGGUCUGAGAGGAUGAUCAGCCACACUGGGACUGAGACACGGCCCAGACUCCUACGGGAGGCAGCAGUGGGGAAUAUUGGACAAUGGGCGAAAGCCUGAUCCAGCAAUGCCGCGUGAGUGAUGAAGGCCUUAGGGUUGUAAAGCUCUUUUAACCGGGAUGAUAAUGACGGUACCGGGAGAAUAAGCUCCGGCUAACUCCGUG